CCUACGGGUGGCUGCAGUGGGGAAUCUUGCACAAUGGGCGAAAGCCUGAUGCAGCAACGCCGCGUGAGUGAAGAAGGCCUUUGGGUUGUAAAGCUCUUUCGGUUGGGAAGAAGGGAAUAUGUGCUAAUACCACGUAUUUUUGACGGUACCAGCAUAAGAAGCACCGGCUAAUUCCGUGCCAGCAGCCGCGGUAAUACGGGAGGUGCAAGCGUUGUUCGGAGUGACUGGGCGUAAAGCGCACGUAGGUGGGCUUGUAAGUCGGAUGUGAAAUCCCC
rnacentral:rRNA from 1 species